AUGGGAAGGCUGGCCGUCGCCGCCGCGGUGGCCGCAUGGGCUAUCCCGAUCGCCGCCUUGGUUGACUCCAUCGUGCCUGACCCCUACAUGGAUGAGAUAUUCCAUGUUCCCCAGGCACAGCACUACUGCCGUGGAGAUUUCUUGACUUGGGAUCCCAUGAUCACCACCCCUCCUGGCCUGUACUACAUUUCUCUAGCAUAUCUUGCUUCCCUGUUUCCUGGUGCAUGGGCUAUCAAGGUAGCAGAGGCAUUUGACCCCCUUUGCACCACAGCACUUCUCCGGUCAACUAAUGUUAUAAUGGCAAUGGUCUGCGGUGUUCUUGUCCAUGACCUGCUUCUGUGUAUCAAGCCAGGAAUUGGCAAGACGAAGGCAACUGCUUAUGCUAUUCUUGUAGCGUUGUAUCCUGUCCACUGGUUCUUUACCUUUCUGUAUUAUACUGAUGUCGCAUCAUUAGCUUCAGUUCUUGCGAUGUACCUGUCCUGCUUGAAGAAACGGUUUUGGGUCAGCGCAUUGUUCGGUGCUCUCUCAAUACUUUUCCGGCAGACUAAUGUAAUAUGGAUGAUAUUUUUUGCUGCCAAUGGAGCCAUUGCAUAUGUGCAAGAUCUUUCUCUCAGUGACUGCCUUUCUGAUGAGAACAGUGAACCAACAGAUAAAUCAAGAACAGAAGUGUCUGACAGGGAUAGCAAAGUCAGUGCUUUAGGUUUGAGAAGACGACGAACUAAUCACCCCAUAAGGAAGAGGGGAGUUGUUUCUGGAUCUACUAAAUCGCACACCAGUUUUACGGAAGAACUAUUCGACAUCGGCUUCAAAAUAUGGAAUUCAAAGUGUAAAGUUUUAAUCACUUUUGCACCGUUCGCAAUAGUUCUGGUGGCAUUUGGAGCAUUUAUAAUCUGGAAUGGUGGCAUAGUACUAGGUGCCAAGGAAGCUCAUGUUGUUUCGCCACAUUUUGCACAGUUAUUGUACUUUGGUCUAGUGUCAGCUACUGCCCUCCUACCGUGGCAUUUUACUCCCGGACGAGUAUCAGACUUGUUCCACUGGUGUAGAAAGAACAAAACCUUUAGUUCUCUGGCAAUGCUGAUAGCUCUUGGUUUAAGCUUUGUGGCUGUACAUUUAUUCAGUAUUGCUCACCCUUAUCUUCUGGCUGACAAUAGACAUUACACGUUCUAUAUCUGGAGGAAGGCCAUACAAGCUCGCUGGAUGAUGAAAUACAUUUUGAUUCCACUUUAUGUGUACUCAUGGUUUUCAGUUAUCAACAUCUUAGUUUUUCCUGAUCUUACAGGGAAAUCGCAGCCAAGAGUUUGGGUGGUGUCCUUUGUUUUCUCAGUUGCUCUAGUUCUCGUCCCUGCUCCGUUGGUCGAAUUUAGAUACUACACAAUCCCAUUGGUCAUACUGGUCCUUAAUUCACCGGUAAUCGGUAAUGGCAAAUUGCUUGCUUUGGGGUCUGCAUACGCUGCUGUGGAUUUGUUCACUCUGGCGAUGUUUCUGUUCAGACCAUUCCAUUGGGGCCAUGAGCCGGGAACACAAAGGUUCAUGUGGUAG
rnacentral:rRNA from 1 species